CGACCACACUGUAGGAAUUCACUCACUCGCUGUGCGAAUCCGACGCUGGUAGGUGAGUUAUAACCUGUUGUGCCGACACUACAGGGAUCCUUUUCCUUUUAUAUGCUAUCCUAUGCUUUUGCUCCGUGCGAAAGCACACCCUCUCUGGCCUCCUCUUCUGCUCUCUAAGUCUCUAAGAACAUUGAGAAAGAACAACUCACUAGGUACUUUCACUCGUGAUUUAGCGCGAUUUAGAGUUGGAUUUUGAAUAUGCUGAAGUUGAACAAAAGAUAGAUCAAGGCAUUAAUUCAUCACCUUUUGUGUCAUUUAAAGCUUCAGGAGUAGGAUUUGCCUAGCGAAGUGAAUUACGAAGUUGAUCAUGGUAAAAUAAUUCAUCUUAGUAGCAAACAAGGAGGAGAUGAAUGAUUGAAGAAUUUGUAUUUCAAUCUUCGCUGUCCUUUUUGAGGUUACGGCUGAAGUGCCAGUGCUUUUGCAGGGGCCCCAUGACGCCGGCCACCGUUGCCACCUAUUGUUGAACCCAAAUAAUGAUAAUGAUCCUCGAACUUUCAGACUUCGAACCGUAAGUAACACAUGGUCAAUACACGAUUAUUUCAUUCCUCGCGUUGAGGCUUAUGGACUACAUGGUUAUGCUAGGCUCACAUCAUCCGAAGACCAAUUACGUUCGGACACAUCCCUUUUGACAUCCCUCAUUGACUGGUGGAGACCUGAAACCCACACCGUUCACUUUCGUUUUGGGGACCUUGCACCUACACUGAAAGAUGUUUCUAGGAUCACUGCUCUACCAAUUAGAGGUGAGUCGUUAGUCUCUGAAUGAGUGCGUCCAUCUUGGGCAUUAAAUAUCUCAGCCCGUCUUGGGAUGACAAUGCCAGAAUCACAACGUUCUGGUGGCACUUGGGGCGUCCCACUCGCCUAGCUUCGUGCAAACUUUAAUUGUUUAUCUAACCACGCUGAUUCUCAGACGAGGAAAAGACAUAUGUUUACGUAUUUGUUGUGGCUCCUCGGGACUAUGUUUCCAAAUUCACACUGGGACGUAGUUCUCCCUGGUCUCGUCUACUUUGUAGAGAAUAUGGUAGAUGAAUCUUUACUUUAGCAUCAAAAAUAGAACUUCGAUUUUGCCAUGCUAUCUCAUACAUAUAGAGGCUUGUGUGAUGCCACACAGAAAACUUCGUUCGCAGAAAAAGCUCCGUUAUCUCAUGGGAAUACCUCCCUGUUGGACGACCUCGUAUACUAAAUCCCAUACAUUGAUACGACUGUAGCGAGGGCAAUGUAACUAUGGCCAGCAGGUGGACAAAGGCACGGAAAAAAUGGUCUCCAAAUAUUGCGAAAUUUUGUUACCCUAUAUACCACCAACAGUUUGAGAUGCUUGAUGGGUCACUAGUCACAUGGAACCCGUGGACUCAGGAGCAGUUACAGAUGGUCUUCGAUAUACGACCCAUCACAACAGGAUGCGUGAGCGAUAGUGCAUUCUGGCUGACUAGCUACAACUUAUUGUUCCUGUGGUGUGUUGAGCCUUACAACCCAGAGCGUGUCAUGAGACAGUUCGGUUUCUAUUAGGAUAUUCCACCACCUUUUCCAAGAUGUAUCGACGAAGGAAACCCAUAAGUAAGAUGUGACCUCCCUAAAUAGUUAGUGUCUUCUUUAAUAUACUAAAUUGACACUUUGUUACAUAAUUUGCAGGCUGAGCAAUAUGGGCAAGGGUCGUUACGAUUGGAGGGCACACAACAUUGAAUGGGAACACAAGUGGGAAAUGAAGUGCUAGAAGAUAUAGUGCAUCAACUUACGUAAAUUUUAUUUACAUUAUUUUAUAAUGAUGACCAUACAAUGCGUGAAGAUGCUUUGCUUUCAUCUCAAAGGUUGAUAUAAUUAUUUAACUCCGC